rnacentral:tmRNA from 1 species
GGGGGCGUAAAGGUUUCGACGGGGACUUUGAAGUGUGAUAAGCGAGCGGAGCUGCGGCGUAAUCUCCUUAAACUGCGCCACGUUUAAAUAUAAACGCAAGAAAUAACAUUACAGUUUCUAGAAAUAGCGAACUGGUAGCUGCUUAAGUCAGCUACUGUCCUGUGAUUGAGUACCGUGGCUUUCACAUGGGCAUCGACUAACGGUGAACGAUUUACAGGAGUGUCCGUGCCUGUAAAUUGUACUCGGACUACCUGUGGUUUCAGCCCGUUUAUCGGCGGUUAUCACCGGGAAUUAUAAUAGGUAAAAUACGCUCGUAGAAAGUUGCAUGAAUGAGUUUUCGGACAGGGGUUCAAUUCCCCUCGCCUCCACCA